UUUAUGGAGAGUUUGAUCCUGGCUCAGGAUGAACGCUGGCGGCGUGCCUAAUACAUGCAAGUCGAGCGAACAGACGAGGAGCUUGCUCCUCUGACGUUAGCGGCGGACGGGUGAGUAACACGUGGAUAACCUACCUAUAAGACUGGGAUAACUUCGGGAAACCGGAGCUAAUACCGGAUAAUAUAUUGAACCGCAUGGUUCAAUAGUGAAAGACGGUUUUGCUGUCACUUAUAGAUGGA
rnacentral:rRNA from 1 species